rnacentral:tRNA from 1 species
GUCCCUUUCGUCUAGUGGCCUAGGACCGCGCUUUUUCAUGGCGUUAACACGGGUUCAAAUCCCGUAAGGGGCA